rnacentral:rRNA from 1 species
UGGGGAAUUUUGGACAAUGGGCGAAAGCCUGAUCCAGCCAUGCCGCGUGCGGGAAGAAGGCCUUCGGGUUGUAAACCGCUUUUGUCAGGGAAGAAACGCGCUGGGUUAAUACCUCGGCGUAAUGACGGUACCUGAAGAAUAAGCACCGGCUAACUACGUGCCAGCAGCCGCGGUAAUACGUAGGGUGCAAGCGUUAAUCGGAAUUACUGGGCGUAAAGCGUGCGCAGGCGGUUGUGUAAGACAGAUGUGAAAUCCCCGGGCUCAACCUGGGAACUGCAUUUGUGACUGCACAGCUAGAGUGCGGCAGAGGGGGAUGGAAUUCCGCGUGUAGCAGUGAAAUGCGUAGAUAUGCGGAGGAACACCGAUGGCGAAGGCAAUCCCCUGGGCCUGCACUGACGCU